AACAUCCCAAGUUCCUAUGCAAUAUUGCUCUUUAUAGCAUCGGACCUUGCUUCUAUCACCAGUCACAUCCACAACUGGGUAUUAUUCUUCCCUCAAACAAAAAUCUCCUGUUGGAUUCUUUUUGUAGGGAUCCUUUAAAAGUGAUGGGCUUCCCAAGUGGCACUAGUUGUGAAGAACCUGCUUGCCAAUGCAGAAGACAGAUACAGGUGUGCAUGGUACGAUUGGACACAUGAUCUCCUAUUUUUAGACUAUCAGUGGUGUUACUCAAGAAGAGGAACACCGGAUAUUGUAAUGCAGCGGGUCUCAAAAUAUGGUCCCUGGACCAGCACUACGUACAGACACCAAACACUGAAUUAGAAAAAGAAAGUGGAGCCUAAACCACAUCUGAACGAGCUCUCUAGGUGAUUCCAGCGUGAGAAACACUGUUGUGGUGACAUGACAAAUCUAACUAGUCCUGAGACGUUCCUGGGACAAGAAAGGUGAUGCAGAGUUCAAUAAGCUGUACCUCUGUCCACUACUCUAAUGUCCUUCAUUUUCAAAGAACAUUUUUGCAUGAUCCCCGUUCACCAUUUUCUCUCCAGGGAACAGAAUAUUUGAAAUGUAAAGAAUAAAUGAGACAUUCCAAAUCUUAGUCAAUAUCAUCUUAUUUAUUCUAUACCUGAACAUCAAAAGUGCCAUAAAAACAGAUUAACAAAAGAAUUUGAGUUUUAAAUACUUUUCUAGCUCACAUAAAACCUGACUUUAGGAAGAAAUAGAAGCACAAGACAUAGAUAACUCACAAAGUGCAUGAGCAACUCUGGGAACGAUGGAUGAACACGGUGUCUAUGCUAGCACUGUGAAAGCUGAGUUUACACCGCAGCACUGUUUACUUACUUUCAGCUCUUCUUCCAUUUCAGAUAUUCUUCUUUCUAGAGCUCUUCGUUCCUAGAUGAAUUUAAGGUAUUACUGUUACUGAUAUAAUCAUUAUACUCUUAAAUUUUCCUCUAAAUUGUGAAAGAGUGACACUUUAGAAUAAACAAUCAAAUCAGGAGCAGUGUAGAAAAAGAUGUGAUGCCAGUGAUGUGUAAAGAGCUCUCCAAAAUUUGAGAGAAAUAAAUAUGAAGAUCAUUACUUUAUUACUUCCUAUAAGCUCUUUCUUUAAAGCUUUGACCUUCUGGUAAAAUGCCACAUAACAUGUUCAAACUGUUUUUAGUUUACAUAAAACUAGGGAUAGAGUAAACUGAUACUUAAGACUGAAGACUGCACAGAAAAGAAAAGAACAAAAACUCACACAGAGAUGCAAUUACUCUACAGUGAUAAGAAGCAGAAAAAGCAAGAAGCAAACGUGACUCAAGUAUGUGUAUUUUAAAAUUUCAAAACGUUCUAAAAGAUGGUUAUCCCUCCACCCACAGUGUAUACUAGUCAUCAUUUGUCCAGUCGACUUUAGAGCUUUGUAUUUAGUUUUAUACUCUGUGUAGCAUUAAUGCAGUGAAUCUAAUAAAGAAGCAACUGUAGCAUUUAUUUUAAACCCCUUCGUUUCAAAGAGUGACAGGCAAAGGCAACAUACAGUAUAUUACUGCAGUGUGCACUCUUAUUCUCCCUUAAAUAAUAAGCAUUCUAGGGUGUUAUGCAAGAAGCAAGCAGCAGUAAUUAAUGUGCUUAAAACUUUGGUUAGGUCAUACCGCCGAGAAGAUACUGACUCUUGCCGGUCACCUUUCAGAUACAAACCAUUUAAAUUUAGUUUAAUCACAUUGACACUAUUUCCAAGACAUUCUUUCCCAGAUUAAUAAUUAAUGCUGAUACUUAGUAAAGCAGUACAUUUACUGUAAAUGUUAACAUUUUUAGGGUAUGUGAUUUUAAAAAACAGAUGGAAUCCUAUUCAUAGGCUUUUAAGUAUAGUGUUUUUCUAUUAUAUUAGCAUGUUUAAAAAUUAUUAGGUAGACAAAAAUGUUAUUUUUGAUAAAAAGAACUUUCUCCUAGUUAACAGUACAGCCACAACCCAUUCAUAAAACUACUGCACUUCUCAAAAUACCAGGACAUGUAAUAUUUGAU